AUCCAACUGAUUAGUCCCAAAUAGGACGAAAUGCACUUUGUCCUGGAU
rnacentral:hammerhead_ribozyme from 2 species